rnacentral:rRNA from 1 species
CCUACGGGAGGCAGCAGUGGGGAAUAUUGGACAAUGGGCGCAAGCCUGAUCCAGCAAUACCGCGUGUGUGAAGAAGGCCUUCGGGUUGUAAAGCACUUUAAGCAGGGAAGAAAAAACUCAAACUAAUAUUUUGAGUCUUGACGGUACCUGAAGAAUAAGCACCGGCUAACUCUGUGCCAGCAGCCGCGGUAAUACAGAGGGUGCAAGCGUUAAUCGGAUUUACUGGGCGUAAAGCGUGUGUAGGUGGUUGGGAAAGUCAAUUGUGAAAUCCCCGGGCUUAACUCGGGAACUGCUUUUGAUACUGUCUGACUAGAAUUCGGUAGAGGGAGGCGGAACUCCAGGUGUAGCGGUGAAAUGCGUAGAUAUCUGGAAGAACACCAAUGGCGAAGGCAACCUCCUGGGCCUGAAUUGACACUGAGACACGAAAGCGUGGGGAUCAAACAGGAUUAGAUACCCUGGUAGUCCACGCCGUAAACGAUGACAACUUGACGUCGGUUUGCUCUGCGAAUCGGUGUCGUAGCUAACGCGAUAAGUUGUCCGCCUGGGGAGUACGGCCGCGAGUAGUAACGUAAAGUAAAGUUAGUUAGUCGUUGAGACGUUGCGACGGACGACGACGAGGGAGGAGG